rnacentral:rRNA from 1 species
CCUACGGGAGGCAGCAGUGAGGAAUAUUGGUCAAUGGGCGGGAGCCUGAACCAGCCAAGCCGCGUGAGGGAAGAAGGUACAGCGUAUCGUAAACCUCUUUUGUCAGGGAACAAAGGCGGGGACUAGUCCCCGGAUGAGGGUACCUGAAGAAAUAGCAUCGGCUAAUUCCGUGCCAGCAGCCGCGGUAAUGCGGGGGAUGCGAGCGUUAUCCGGAUUUAUUGGGUUUAAAGGGUGCGCAGGCGGCCUGUUAAGUCAGCGGUAAAAGCCAGGGGCUCAACCCCGGCGAGCCGUUGAAACUGGAGGGCUGGAGUGGGAAAGAGGUACGCGGAAUGCGAGGUGUAGCGGUGAAAUGCUUAGAUA